AGGCUAAUACCGCAUACGUCCUACGGGAGAAAGGGGGCUUCGGCUCCCGCUAUUGGAUGAGCCUAUGUCGGAUUAGCUAGUUGGUGAGGUAAAGGCUCACCAAGGCAACGAUCCGUAGCUGGUCUGAGAGGAUGAUCAGCCACAUCGGGACUGAGACACGGCCCGAACUCCUACGGGAGGCAGCAGUGGGGAAUAUUGGACAAUGGGGGCAACCCUGAUCCAGCCAUGCCGCGUAUGUGAAGAAGGCCCUCGGGUUGUAAAGCACUUUCAGCGAGGAAGAACGCCUGUCGGUUAAUACCCGGUAGGAAAGACAUCACUCGCAGAAGAAGCACCGGCUAACUCCGUGCCAGCAGCCGCGGUAAUACGGAGGGUGCAAGCGUUAAUCGGAAUUACUGGGCGUAAAGCGCGCGUAGGUGGCUUGAUAAGCCGGUUGUGAAAGCCCCGGGCUCAACCUGGGAACGGCAUCCGGAACUGUCAGGCUAGAGUGCAGGAGAGGAAGGUAGAAUUCCCGGUGUAGCGGUGAAAUGCGUAGAGAUCGGGAGGAAUACCAGUGGCGAAGGCGGCCUUCUGGACUGACACUGACACUGAGGUGCGAAAGCGUGGGUAGCAAACAGGAUUAGAUACCCUGGUAGUCCACGCCGUAAACGAUGUCGACCAGCCGUUGGGUGCCUAGCGCACUUUGUGGCGAAGUUAACGCGAUAAGUCGACCGCCUGGGGAGUACGGCCGCAAGGUUAAAACUCAAAUGAAUUGACGGGGGCCCGCACAAGCGGUGGAGCAUGUGGUUUAAUUCGAUGCAACGCGAAGAACCUUACCUACCCUUGACAUCUACAGAAGCCGGAAGAGAUUCUGGUGUGCCUUCGGGAACUGUAAGACAGGUGCUGCAUGGCUGUCGUCAGCUCGUGUUGUGAAAUGUUGGGUUAAGUCCCGUAACGAGCGCAACCCUUGUCCUUAUUUGCCAGCACGUAAUGGUGGGAACUCUAAGGAGACUGCCGGUGACAAACCGGAGGAAGGUGGGGACGACGUCAAGUCAUCAUGGCCCUUACGGGUAGGGCUACACACGUGCUACAAUGGCCGGUACAAAGGGCUGCGAGCUCGCGAGAGUCAGCGAAUCCCUUAAAGCCGGUCUCAGUCCGGAUCGGAGUCUGCAACUCGACUCCGUGAAGUCGGAAUCGCUAGUAAUCGUGAAUCAGAAUGUCACGGUGAAUACGUUCCCGGGCCUUGUACACACCGCCCGUCAC
rnacentral:rRNA from 1 species